rnacentral:miRNA from 1 species
GGUCAGCUGACACAUCCCUGCCAAUCUCCGGCAGACCCUCCCUCCCAGACCCUCCUACUUCCUGGACAGCAUCCAUGUUGAAGGCAGCUUCAACAUGGAUGCUGUCCAGGAGAUGGGAGGGUCUGGGAGGGAGGGUCUGCCGGAGAGUGGCAGGGAUGUGUCAGCUG